rnacentral:rRNA from 1 species
GGAGCGGCCGAUAUCUGAUUAGCUAGUUGGUGGGGUAAAGGCCUACCAAGGCGACGAUCAGUAGCUGGUCUGAGAGGACGACCAGCCACACUGGAACUGAGACACGGUCCAGACUCUACGGGAGGCAGCAGUGGGGAAUUUUGGACAAUGGGCGCAAGCCUGAUCCAGCCAUUCCGCGUGAGUGAAGAAGGCCUUCGGGUUGUAAAGCUCUUUCGCAAGGGAAGAAACGAUACAGUCGAAUAAACUGUGUUAAUGACGGUACCUUGAUAAGAAGCACCGGCUAACUACGUGCCAGCAGCCGCGGUAAUACGUAGGGUGCGAGCGUUAAUCGGAAUUACUGGGCGUAAAGCGUGCGCAGGCGGUUUUGUAAGUCAGAUGUGAAAUCCCCGGGCUCAACCUGGGAAC